GCGGAGGAAAAGAAAGCAACAGCGAUAGCCUCAGUAACGGCGAGUGAAGCGGCUACAGCUCAAAUUUGAAAUCUGGCCUCCUUUGGGGGUCCGAGUUGUAAUUUGCAGAGGAUGCUUUGGCAUUGGCGGCGGUCUAAGUUCCUUGGAACAGGACAUCGCAGAGGGUGAGAAUCCCGUACGUGGGCGCCUGCCUUUGCCGUGUAAAGCUCCUUCGACGAGUCGAGUUGUUUGGGAAUGCAGCUCUAAAUGGGAGGUAAAUUUCUCCUAAAGCUAAAUACCGGCCAGAGACCGAUAGCGCACAAGUAGAGUGAUCGAAAGAUGAAAAGUACUUUGGAAAGAGAGUCAAAUAGCACGUGAAAUUGUUGAAAGGGAAGCGCUUGCAGCCAGACUUGCCCGCAGUUGCUCACCUAGGCUUUCGCCUGGGGCACUCUUCUGCGGGCAGGCCAGCAUCAGUUUGGGCGGUCGGAUAAAGGCCUCUGUCAUGUACCACCCCUCGGGGUGGCCUUAUAGGGGAGGCGUAAUGCGACCAGCCCGGACUGAGGUCCGCGCAUC
rnacentral:rRNA from 1 species